rnacentral:rRNA from 1 species
AACGAACGCUGGCGGCAGGCUUAACACAUGCAAGUCGAACGCCCCUUACGGGGAGUGGCAGACGGGUGAGUAACGCGUGGGAAUCUACCCAUCUCUGCGGAAUAGCUCCGGGAAACUGGAAUUAAUACCGCAUACGCCCUACGGGGGAAAGAUUUAUCGGGGAUGGAUGAGCCCGCGUUGGAUUAGCUAGUUGGUGGGGUAAAGGCCUACCAAGGCGACGAUCCAUAGCUGGUCUGAGAGGAUGAUCAGCGACAUUGGGACUGAGACACGGCCCAAACUCGUACGGGAGGCAGCAGUGGGGAAUAUUGGACAAUGGGCGCAAGCCUGAUCCAGCCAUGCCGCGUGAGUGAUGAAGGCCUUAGGGUUGUAAAGCUCUUUCACCGAUGAAGAUAAUGACGGUAGUCGGAGAGGAAGCCCCGGCUAACUUCGUGCCAGCCGCCGCCGUAAAAC